GGAGCACAGUGGCGCGAUCUCGGCUCACUGCAACCUCUGCCUCCCGGGUUCAUGCCAUUCUCCUGCCUCAGCCUCCCUAGUAGCUGGGACUACAGGUGCCUGCCACCACGCCCAGCUAAGUUUUGUAUUUUUAGUGGAAACAGGGUUUCACCGGAUUAGCCAGGAUGGUCUUGAUCUCCUGACUUUGUGAUCCGCCCGCCUCAGCCUCCCAAAGUGCUGGGAUUACAGGCGUGAGCCACCACGCCUGGCCGGAACUCUCCAUUUCUUAAGGUGAAGAGGGUCAAGGAUACCUAAAAAGGGGUCAAAUAAUGCUAGAAGAGCAAUUCUUCUUUCAGAGCAGUUGCUGUAAUUUGGCAAAUGCUUUAUCGAAGAUUGAUAUUAGGUUAGGGGCGGUGACUCAAUGCCUGUAAUCCCAGCACUUUAGGAGGCCAAGGUGGGUGGAUUGCCUGAGCUCAAGAGUUCGAGACCAGUCUGACCAGUAUGGUGAAACCCUGUCUCUACUAAAAAUACAAAAAUUAGCCGGUUGUGGUGUUGUGUACAUGUAGUCCCAGCUACUCAGGAGGUUGAGACAGGAGAAUCACUUGAAUCUGAGAAUCACUUGAAUCACAAUCUCUGGCUUGCAGUGAGCCAAGACCGCACCACUGCGCUCCUGCCUGGGCGACAGAGCGAGACUCAGUCUCAAAAAAAAAGAAAAAAGAAAAUUGACAUUUAUCAUUAUAACAGCUCUCUGAAGGCAUUUUUUUUAACAGUCAAGUACUGAUAUCAACAGACAAAUAUUUCUGAUCAGAUCGUCCCUGUCAACAGAGUAGCAAAUGUGGUUUCAUAAAGUGGGAAGAAAACAGCAUGUUAAAAUAACUUUUUGGGAGACUGAUUUGAGUAAUAAUAAAACUCUGGUCUCCCUUAGAAAAAACCCUUUCUUCCACCUUUACUGUGUCAUUUAUAUCCCCUUAGUUCAAAGUUGUUAUCUUAUUUCUGGAUAUUGCUUUUAUACCAAAGACCCUUAUCAGUCCUUGUAACUACAGUAUCUUUAGAUAAGAUUCCUCUUCCCAGGGAAAGAGGGAAUGUUUCUGUUGCAGAGUUAGGCAGUAGAUGGGAAGCUGUGAUGGCAGAGCUACUAUCUAAUAAAGUGACAACUCGUAGUUGAGGCUUCCUUUUUGUGUGUGAUGGGGGAUGGGGAAGUUAGCUCCCCUGUUGUCUCAGCACUAAGAAAUUGAGGUCAGGCCAGGCGCAGUGGCUCACUUCUGUUAUCCCAGCACUUGGGCGGCCAAAAUGGGCAGAUUGCUUGAGCUCAGGAGCUCAAGACCAGCCUGGGCAACAUGGCGAAACCCUGUUUCUACCAAAAAUACAAAAAAUAACUGGGCACGGUGGGUGCACGCUUGUUGUCCCAGCUACUCAGGAAGCUGAGGUGGGAGGAUUGCUUGAGCCUUGGAGGUGGAGGUUGCAGUGAGCUGAGAUGGCACCACUGCAAUCCAAGGUGGGUGACAGAGACCCUGUCUCAAAGAAAUUGAGGCCAGACUUCCUUCUAACAUGAUUAUUUUUUUCUCUGUAGUUUGCCUCAUUUUUUCACUUCCUUUUCAAUGAGAAUCGAAGUGUUUCUUUUGGGGUUUUUUCUUCCCCCUUUAAAAAUCAACAGGAAAUAUUUCAAAGGAUGGAUGAAAUGCUUGGCUUCCUCAGCACUUGGCAAGGUAGACCUCAUAGCAACCUCUGAAUAUGACUUUCUUUAGUCUCUAGCUGUGCACUAUUAAGUGCCUCUUGGGGUGGAGGUAGAGUAAGUAUUGAGUGCCAGUCUUGACCUCCAUAUGCCUCAGUUUUUCGUAUCUAUAAAAAGCAGUACACGUACCUACCCUUCUACCUCAUAGUUUGUUGCGGGGAUUCAAUAUGGGAGAGCAACUUUGAAGCCUGUUAAUAUCCUUGAAGAGAUCUAAGAACUAUUAUGCUCUUGGUGUACCAAGCUCUGGGUAUAUAUUCAGAAUACCUCAUGUUCUGGAAGCUGAGCACAAGCUCUCCUUUAUUGCCUGCCUGGCAGAGCCUGUUUGCUUACUGCAAGCCCUUUUACCCAUGCUUCUAGUUUAGGUAUUCUUUCUUUGAUAUGAGGCUCUUGACUAGAAAAGAGUUCUUUCUCUAGGUGUUCUGAGAGAAGUUUGUAAAUUUGGAUAGUACAUUCUAUCCUGAUAAAACCAUCUUGCUGUGGUCUUGAUGUACAAAACUUUUUUCUUUUCUUUUCUUUUCUUUUUUUUUUUGAGACAGUCUCAGUCUGUCGCCCAGGCUGGACUGCAGUGGCGUGAUCUUGGCUCACUGUAAGCCUCUUGGGUUCAAGCGAUUCUCCUGCCUCAGCCUCUCAAGUAGCUGGGACUACAGGCGUGCACCAUCACACCUGGCUAAUUUUUGUAUAUUUAGUAGAGAAAGGGUUUCACCAUGUUGGCGAGGCUGGUCUUGAACUCCUGACCUCAGGCGAUCUGCCUGUCUUGGCCUCCCAAAGUACUGAGAUUACAGGCGUGAGCCACCAUGCCUGGCCCAAAAUGUCUCUUUCUACGCACACUUGAGUAGGUGGCAUAAAAUGCACUGCCCAUAGAUAGAAAACAUGCAGUUUUCCAGAUGUCUCCGAUCAGAGAGUCACAAUCAAGAGCAGCAAAUGUGGUUUCAUAAAGUGGGAAGAAAGUGGCAAUUUAAAAUAACUUUUUGGGAGACUGAAUUGAGUAAUAAUAAAACUUCAGUCUCUCACACACACAAAAAAAAUAACCUUUCGAAUGUGGCCAGCUCACUAAAUGAGGAAAGAGGAAGGCAUUUUCUGCAUUCUUGCCUAGUUUUCUUUAUAAGCGCCAUGAAAUUAACAGCUGUCUUUUUGGUGUUUGCACUAUGUAAUGCUUUUAAUACUUUUUAAUUGUGCUUUUUUGUGUAUUAAAUGUUUUUCCUUUU
ensembl:lncRNA